rnacentral:rRNA from 1 species
GACGAACGCUGGCGGCGCGCUUAACACAUGCAAGUCGAGCGAGAACCGGGACUUCGGUCCCGGGGACAGCGGCGAACGGGUGAGUAACACGUGGGUAAUCUGCCCUCGAUUCUGGGAUAGCCCGGGGAAACCCGGAUUAAUACCGGAUUUAGCCUUUCGAGCCUUCGGGCGCGAAAGAAAAGGUAGCUUCGGCCUCCGAUCGAGGAUGAGCCCGCGGUGGAUUAGCUUGUUGGCGGGGUAAUGGCCCACCAAGGCGACGAUCCAUAGCUGGUCUGAGAGGACGAUCAGCCACACUGGGACUGAGACACGGCCCAGACUCCUACGGGAGGCAGCAGUGGGGAAUCUUGCGCAAUGGGCGAAAGCCUGACGCAGCGACGCCGCGUGGGGAAGAAGGCCUUAGGGUUGUAAACCUCUUUCAGGUGGGACGAAGCCACUCGGGUGAAUAGCCCCAGAGGGUGACGGUACCGCCAGAAGAAGCCCGGCUAACUACGUGCCAGCCGCCGCCGUAAG